rnacentral:lncRNA from 1 species
AUGUGGAGUGCACUCACUCCCCAUAUCUAAAUCCGGUGUCAUCUCCGAUCCAUCCACAUGACGUAUCGUAACUCACAGCCGGUGCAACAGACCUAAAGUGUACACCACAUGCACACGUUUUAGAAGCCGCCAUCAUCAUCGAACCGUUGAACCAUCUUCAGGAUAGAGAUCCGCAUAAUCCUUGUCAGUCCGGCCAUCCGUCGACGCCACCACGACGCCCAACGGCACCACCUCCCUGCGCUCGUCCAUCC